rnacentral:rRNA from 1 species
GUGUCAGCAGCCGCGGUAAUACCAGCUCUCCGAGUGGUGGGGACGUUUAUUGGGCCUGAAGCAUCCGUAGCCAGCUGAGCAAGUCCCCAGUUAAAUCCAGCGAUUUAAUCGUUGGACUGCUGGGGAUACUGUCCGGCUUGGGGGUGGGAGAGGCCGACGGUAUUCCCGGGGUAGGGGUGAAAUCCUAUAAUCCCGGGAGGACCACCAGUGGCGAAGGCUGUUGGCUAAAACAUGCCCGACGGUGAGGGAUGAAAGCUGGGGGAGCGAACCGGAUUAGAUACCCGGGUAGUCCCAGCUGUAAACGAUGCAGGCUAGGUGUUAGGGCGGCCACGUGCCGCUCUAGUGCCGCAGGGAAGCUGUUAAGCCUGCCGCCUGGGGAGUACGGCCGCAAGGCUGAAACUUAAAUGAAUUGGCGGGG